UACGGAGGGUGCAAGCGUUAAUCGGAAUUACUGGGCGUAAAGCGCGCGUAGGCGGCCUGUUAAGUCGGAUGUGAAAGCCCAGGGCUCAACCUUGGAAUUGCACCCGAUACUGGCAGGCUAGAGUACAAGAGAGGGUGGUAGAAUUUCCUGUGUAGCGGUGAAAUGCGUAGAUAUAGGAAGGAAUACCGGUGGCGAAGGCGGCCACCUGGCUUGAUACUGACGCUGAGGUGCGAAAGCGUGGGGAGCAAACAGG
rnacentral:misc_RNA from 1 species